AUUAGCGGCGGACGGGUGAGUAACACGUGAGUAACCUGCCUUAGACAUUGGGAUAGCCUCGGGAAACCGGGAUUAAUACCAAAUGAAAUCACAUAUGCACAUGCAUAAAUGAUCAAAGCUCCGGCGGUCUAAGAUGGACUCGCGUCCCAUUAGCUAGUUGGUGAGGUAACGGCCCACCAAGGCGACGAUGGGUAGCCGGCCUGAGAGGGUGAACGGCCACAUUGGAACUGAGAAACGGUCCAAACUCCUACGGGAGGCAGCAGUGGGGAAUAUUGCACAAUGGAGGGAACUCUGAUGCAGCGACGCCGCGUGAACGAAGAAGGCUUUCGAGUCGUAAAGUUCUUUUAUAUGGGAAGAUAAUGACGGUACCAUAAGAAAAAGCCCCGGCUAACUACGUGCCAGCAGCCGCGGUAAUACGUAGGGGGCUAGCGUUGUCCGGAAUCACUGGGCGUAAAGGGUUCGCAGGCGGAAAUGCAAGUCAGGUGUAAAAGGCAGUAGCUUAACUACUGUAAGCAUUUGAAACUGCAUAUCUUGAGAAGAGUAGAGGUAAGUGGAAUUUUUAGUGUAGCGGUGAAAUGCGUAGAUAUUAAAAAGAAUACCGGUGGCGAAGGCGACUUACUGGGCUCAUUCUGACGCUGAGGAACGAAAGCGUGGGUAGCAAACAGGAUUAGAUACCCUGGUAGUCCACGCUGUACACGAUGAGUGCUAGUAUCGGAAAAAUUCGGUGCCGCAGUUACACAUUAAGCACUCCGCCUGGGGAGUACGUGCGCAAGCAUG
rnacentral:rRNA from 1 species